GAUUUGUUAAGGGCCGUUUCAGAGACUACCAAACAAACGACGUCGGAUUUUGUCUUGCAGUGGGGUAACCGGAAGCGCCUGAGGUGCAUGAAGGUCCAGGUGAAGGACGACUCCAACUCCUCGGUUCAUCGAACCACGGUUCGGGUGGACCGUAGGGUCGUUAGAGCUGAUAAAGAGGCUUCUAAUCAGCCAAGUACCACGAGAAAUACUAAUCAAAGCAAUGGCUAUU
rnacentral:misc_RNA from 1 species